AACGAACGCUGGCGGCAGGCUUAACACAUGCAGGUCGAGCGCCCCGCAAGGGGAGCGGCAGACGGGUGAGUAACGCGUGGGAAUCUACCCAUCUCUACGGAAUAACGCAUGGAAACGUGUGCUAAUACCGUAUACGUCCUUCGGGAGGAAGAUUUAUCGGAGAUGGAUGAGCCCGCGUUGGAUUAGCUAGUUGGUGGGGUAAAGGCCUACCAAGGCGACGAUCCAUAGCUGGUCUGAGAGGAUGAUCAGCCACACUGGGACUGAGACACGGCCCAGACUCCUACGGGAGGCAGCAGUGGGGAAUAUUGGACAAUGGGCGCAAGCCUGAUCCAGCCAUGCCGCGUGAGUGAUGAAGGCCCUAGGGUUGUAAAGCUCUUUCACCGGUGAAGAUAAUGACGGUAACCGGAGAAGAAGCCCCGGCUAACUUCGUGCCAGCAGCCGCCGUAAAAC
rnacentral:rRNA from 1 species